rnacentral:rRNA from 1 species
GGCGAACGCUGGCGGCACGCCUAAUACAUGCAAGUCGAGCGAUCGGCUUCGGGGAGCUUGCUCCCCGAAGUACGGAGCGGCGCACGGGUGAGUAACACGUGGGUAACCUGCCUCGAAGACUGGGACAACCCCGGGAAACUGGGGCUAAUACCGGAUGUCCUCCUCGGGUCGCAUGGCCUGGGAAGGAAAUGUCUUUUCGCUUCGAGAUGGGCCCGCGGCCUAUCAGCUUGUUGGCGGGGUAACGGCCCACCAAGGCUCUGACGGGUAGCCGGCCUGA